ACCAUUUAAACAAUCAAAUUACAACAUACCAAGCUCUAAAAACAAAACAGAGUAUGAAACAGAGCAUGAAACAGAGCAUGAAACAGAGUAAGAAACAGAGUUUUGGUUAGUUGAUGGUACCUCUCGUUCGUUGUACAUUGGGAUUUGGACAAGAACCAUAGGAUAAACAGAGUUACCAUGCUCGAUGUCGUCUUUCAUUGGUUCCCAUUUGAAGCGUUUCUCUGGCUUCCGACCAAAGAGUUUAACAAGAGAGAUUACUAUUCCCAUGUAAACCCUUUCGACGAAAAGCAUCACCGACAUCGUUAAGCAGAUGUAAACUGCGAGCCUAAGGACUGGGACGAUCAAUGGAGCUCGAAUCUGAUCCAAGAUCAUUGUCAUUUGCAUUGUGAUGUCGUCUCUGUAUCCCAUGAACGAGUCCGGAAUCACGGCCGACGAAUCUCCCAGCUCCAUUUCUUCUUACUUGGACGACAGAAAGAAAAAAAAAACAGAGGAGGAAGCAAGAACCCUAGAAUAUAUGUGAUCCUUGUGAAACACGCAAGAAGGUACAAUGUGAUUCUUUAAAAAGUUUCUUUUGGCGUAAAGAAAUCAAAGAGGACGGAACAGAGAGACAGAGUUUUUUUCCGGCAAGGUGAAAAAUCUCUGUCUUCUCUGCCUGAAAACACUCAGAUUGUCGGGAACAAAGAGAAUUAAACUUUUUAACUUUUGUUUUUUAAUGUUUAUAUGGUUUGGUAAGAGAGGAAAGUUAAUAAUAACGAAAGGUGGAGAAGGAGAAGAUGAUUCUUGGGAAGAAAUAAAGAAGAGAGGAGAGAGAUCUAUAAACGGAAACAGAGAGAAGAGUGUGUGUGUGAGAAAUAAACAGAGGUGAAUGUCUUUAUAUAAAGCAUCUCUGCCUUUGUAUUGUUUUAGAAUAAUCAUUUUCAUUUUCUCUUUUGGUUUUACUUUAUUUUAUUUUACAGUAUGUAUUUUUAUUAUAGAUAAAUUAUUUUUUUGCUCCAUCAACCAUAAACUUGCUUUAUCUAUAUAAGUACUAGUAAACAUUGUUGAACAUCAAAAACAUUAUUUAAGCAAAAAUUAAAACAUCACAAAACAUAAACGAUGGCCGGGAUGGGAGUUUAUCGAAUUGUUAUAUGUAGUAUCAUUUCUGUUUUUGUGCUUUAUUGUUAGUUUUCAACUUUUAUUUUUUUCUCCAGUUGACAUUACCAAAAUGUAAUUGACUAAUAACCACCGUGAAGUGUGUAUACUGUUUUUUUUCUUGACAUCGUUUGUAUACUGUUAUUAAACAGAACAUUUUGGAUGUUUAUAUACAUAGGUCAAAAGAGUUUGGUAGAUGUCAUAGUUGGUAAUUUAUUAGUUUAGAACUAGCAAUUAAAGGCCAAAUAACAUUUUGUGUGAGGUUCAAUACAAUAUGAAGAAAUAAUGCUUGGCGUACACCAAUGUUCUACAAUUCACAUAAUGUAUAACAAGUUUAUUCCAAUAGGAAAGUGAUUGUAUUUAUUCUUUUCUCGAGGAAACAAUAUCUCGUAUUGUUGUCCUCUCUCGCUACAGUAUAACGUAAAACUCACGAUUAUAGAAUGACCAAUUGUGUAGUACAAGUAUUGAAAUCAUGCAGUGGUCCAUAUAUAGAGAAACAGAUAUAGGAGUCUCAGUUUUGUCUGUGAAGUCCAUUAAGGUGUUAUGUGUAACAAUAUUAAUUAUAUGUGUAUUGGUCGAAUAAGUAACAAAUAUUGUAUAUACAUUCACACUCUUUUAACGAAUCAAUAAGAAAAAUAAACAAUGUUAAUCAUGAAAGAGCUGGCUAACAUUAAUUUGGAUUAUGAUCUAUAAUUGAUAGUAUUGGUUUUGUAGUACGUUAGUUUUUUUUUCUUGGACAGCUUGUAGUAGGUUAGUUAUUGUUUUAGAAAAUAUCUGAUAAUAAUGAACAACAAUUCAAAACUGAAAAGAAAAUAUGUUGCUAACCAAUAAAAAUUGACCAAAAGCUCCAGAGUUGAUAAAGAUUACUCAAGAUGUUUCAGCAAAGCACAUUUGUUUUAUUGUUAAUUGGCGAUGAUGCCGCUUCAUCUAGCACCGACGGUACCAUUUUGUUUGUAUACAUACAUCAUCAGUUUUAAUAGCUAUCAUAAAUAAACAAAUAAAACAUUGACUAAACAUUUUAGUAAACAAAAAAGUCAAUUCUUUCAUAAACUUCGACGCACGUUUCCAGCUUUGUUUAUCAAUCAUUUUUUCUACAUGAACUUAAUGUUACUAGAUGGAUCUCGUUCUAAAAAAAAGGUAGAUGGAUCUCGAUUGUUUUCAGACGGUAGUAAGAUGGAACACACAGCGGGAAAGAAAGGACUGCCCAAUAGCCGACGUUGACUGUUACCUAUUUAGAACGUAGAUGGUCAUUAGUUUUUUUCUUUUUUGUAGUUAUCUUGCAUUACUCUAUGUAGUUCUUUGCUACGAGACUCUAUGUCGUUAUGAAAUUUUAAAACACAAUAAAUAAAAACGUAUUUAUUCAAAACUUUUUUUGGUCUAAAUUUAUUCAAAACUUUUGAAAACGUGAACUUGACAUCUAGUUACGAUGGAAUGUAAAAUAGUUUGUGGAUCAAAGACUUGUAUUUCCUAGUCAUCACGGCAACAAACAUUUCACUUCACGAAGAUACUUUAUUUGGAAUGAUUCAUUUUCGGACCGUACGUCCAGUUCCAAAACAUAUAUUAAAAAUUCAAAUAAUUUAGAAGCUUUUACCCUUUUUUUUUGGUUCGUACUUCUGAUAGGGUACUUCGUGUUAUAAUCAGUUAUUAAGUCAGUAGAUUGACAAAUUAAAGUCUGUAAUUAGUUGGCAUGUCAUGUGAGAACACAUACCGAGAUAAUAAUCCAGCAUAUAUACAUGAGUUUGUGAUAAUAUAAAGUUACAAACAAACUUGAGUUAAUUGUUACAUAAUUACUAAAAUCAUAUAAAUUCUUACGUCUUCGCCAAUAUUCUUACAAAUAUUCACUAUUAGAAUAUAACUUUUGUACGUGACAUAACUCAUAUAUUGCUUCUUAGACUUAAGCAAUUUGUUAAUUUGAAUUGCAUAUAUGCCAUUCUUAAAAAAAAUAUUUACAGUUGGCUUUUGAUUUCUUGGAAUGUGAAACAAGUAUGUAUGAUUAUAUCUCUAUAUUAUUAUGGUAACUUAACCAAUAAUGAAAAUUGUGGUCUGAGGUAUAAUAAUGAUAAUACAAAUAAAUGAAUAAAAUAAAUAAUUGGAGAAAUAAAAUAGCACUACAUAUGUAGUUGCAUGCAACCUGGAAGUAACAUGCAGUGCCAUGCAAGUAAAUAUAAUGUAAAGGGACCAAUUACCACAUGGGUUCUUACAAUUGAACUUUGCUUCUUUCACUCACAGUUAUCACUAUUCGUUUUAUCUUUCAUCAUUUUAAAUAAUUCUGAAUCUUCGAUUUUUAUAUCAAUAAGUUACGUGUCUAUUGAACUAAAUCAAACAUACGGCUAACUAUAUGUGAUUUUCUCAGUAAAUAGCUAGAGACACAUAAUCCUAUUCCGAAAACUGAUGAUAAUGUAUACACUUUAUCAGACAAAAAAAAUAUAUACGAUUUUUAUACAGAAAACUAGAUAGAUUCUAUGAUUUCACUGUAAAAAGGAAAUAAAACCAACUGGAUUGUAUGAAUUUAUAAAACAUUUUUAUUGGUUUUUGGGUUUUGAAAUUUUAAAAGAUCGAAAUAUCUCGAAGAAGGUUAGGAAUGUAUCUCUUUGUAAAUGUUCCUACUCAUAAAAUAUGUGAUCGACCUUGUUGCUCUCUACCCCCAUGAACAAAACAUUUACAAAUAGAAUGUUGGGUCCCUAGAAUGUUUGUUUGAUUUUCAAAAGAAAAGGUUGUACAUUUAUUUUAUAAUUAAGUCUUUCAAAAAGAAAUAUGGGUAUCUAUGUUACUUUAGAUAUGAUAACUAUAUUGUACUCCUUCUGUUUUUAAAAGAUACAUAUUCUAAAUUUUUCAUAUAUAUUAAAAAACUCAUUAAAUAUACAUUAUUUUUUGUGAAUAACAAUUUUUCAUAACUUUUAACCAAUAAAAAUUCAAUAAACACUAUUAAUUUUUUUGAAACUUAUAAUUUUUCAUAAAAUCAUACAUUAAAAAAGUGAAAAAUGUAUCUUUUUGAAACAAUUUCUUUUUCUAGAACAUACAUCUUUUAGGAACUGAGGGAGUACUAAAUAAGCUAUAAUAAUUAUGAAAGUAUUCAAAGAAUCAAUCAAGUUUUGUAGAAAACAUAUCGAAGGAACUAAAAAAUAACAACCGAUGGGAUAUAGAAUUGAUAUCCUAUCUACUUUGCCACCGAAACUCUCCUUCUCUCUAUUUAUUUUAGGGUGUUAUUUCAACUUUUAAUUGUCGGCAUAUAUAUUCUGUGUCUAUAUUAUUACAUUAUACGUAUAUGUUGAUUUUGUAGAAUGAUUCUUCUAGUCUUCAUCCCCUUUAAAAGCUAUGAGGGGGUUGUUGAGCCUCCUAAUUAAAUAUUUAAUGGCUAAACUUAAUUAGCAUAAAACCCGAUCAUUAUGUCAUUCAUUAUAAUUGUUGUAGUUGCACGAAAUUGAAAUAAACAAGUCACAAAAGAAAAACUUAAAUGAUAUAUAUUUAAUCCUUUCUAAAAAAGAUCGCCCUUAUAUAUUUUUACAAUAAACAAGAACCAUAAAGAUUUUUUUUUCUUUUUGACGAUAUAAAAUUAUAAAGUAAUUUAAAAAAUACCUUAUUUAUGUUUGGGUGUGCUUGCAUUACAUAAUACUUCGAGAAGCUAUCAUUGGAUCUGGUUAAAGUUUAUAAACCACUUACUUAAUGUGUACAGUUUCGCUCCUAUAAGGCGAAGGAGAAACCACACCUCAGUCUUCAUCACUCUAUUUCUCACCUACUUCCAUGUUCCAAUACUAAUUUUGUUUUUAAUAUUUAUAUAUACAACAGGAAAGUUCAUAGGUCAAGUUUUUUUAUAUAUAACUUUUAGGUGGAUUAUCAUAUGUUAAAUACUUUUACCUCUUUUGACGAAAGCAUAGCCAUCUUUAAUAUUCUAUUAAUUAGUUGUUCGUUCAUUAAUCGAACAAUCGUUCUAAUACUUUUCCAUUUACAAUAUUUUACGUACAUAAGCUGACUAGACUUAAGGUGGGCUGAAACAAAACUACGAUGCUAGUUACGACGAAUGUGAGUUCCAGAUUAAUCUGAAACGGCAGAUAAAGGCUCAACAGCAAGGUUAGUUGAUGGUACCUCUCGUUCGUUGUACAUUGGGAUUUGGACAAGAACCAUAGGAUAAACAGAGUUACCAUGCUCGAUGUCGUCUUUCAUUGGUUCCCAUUUGAAGCGUUUCUCUGGCUUCCGACCAAAGAGUUUAACAAGAGAGAUUACUAUUCCCAUGUAAACCCUUUCGACGAAAAGCAUCACCGACAUCGUUAAGCAGAUGUAAACUGCGAGCCUAAGGACUGGGACGAUCAAUGGAGCUCGAAUCUGAUCCAAGAUCAUUGUCAUUUGCAUUGUGAUGUCGUCUCUGUAUCCCAUGAACGAGUCCGGAAUCACGGCCGACGAAUCUCCCAGCUCCAUUUCUUCUUACUUGGACGACAGAAAGAAAAAAAAAACAGAGGAGGAAGCAAGAACCCUAGAAUAUAUGUGAUCCUUGUGAAACACGCAAGAAGGUACAAUGUGAUUCUUUAAAAAGUUUCUUUUGGCGUAAAGAAAUCAAAGAGGACGGAACAGAGAGACAGAGUUUUUUUCCGGCAAGGUGAAAAAUCUCUGUCUUCUCUGCCUGAAAACACUCAGAUUGUCGGGAACAAAGAGAAUUAAACUUUUUAACUUUUGUUUUUUAAUGUUUAUAUGGUUUGGUAAGAGAGGAAAGUUAAUAAUAACGAAAGGUGGAGAAGGAGAAGAUGAUUCUUGGGAAGAAAUAAAGAAGAGAGGAGAGAGAUCUAUAAACGGAAACAGAGAGAAGAGUGUGUGUGUGAGAAAUAAACA
rnacentral:lncRNA from 1 species